GAGCUUGAGGACGGAAGGGGUGAGUGGAACUCCAGGUGGAACGGUGAAAUGUAUAGAUAUCUGGAGGAACACCGGUGGCGAAAGCGGCUCACUGGUCCGUCUCUGACGCUGAGGUGCGAAAGCUAGGGUAGCGAACGGGAUUAGAUACCCCGGUAGUCCUAGCCGUAAACUAUGGGCACUAGGCAAUGGGUUUACCUAUGAGAUUCAUUGCCGUGGCUAAUGUGUUAAGUGCCCCGCCUGGGGAGUACGCUCGCAAGGGUAAAACUCAAAGGAAUUGACGGGGGAUCACACAAGCGGUGGAGCAUGUUGUUUAAUUCGAAGCAACGCGAAGAACCUUACCAGGCCUUGACAUGCACGGAUUAGCUUCCUGAAAGGGAAGUGACGGCUCUUCGGAGUUGGAACGUGUGCAGGUGUUGCAUGGCUGUCGUCAGCUCGUGCCGUGAGGUGUUGGGUUAAGUCCCGUAACGAGCGCAACCCCUAUUGAUAGUUACCAUCAUUAAGUUGGGUACUCUAUUGAGACUGCCGCUGACAAGGCGGAGGAAGGUGGGGACGACGUCAAGUCAUCAUGGCCCUUACGACCAGGGCUACACACGUGCUACAAUGGGUAUUACAGAGGGCAGCGAAGUAGCGAUAUGGAGCGAAACUCAGAAAGGUACUCUUAGUCCGGAUUGCAGUCUGCAACUCGACUGUAUGAAGUCGGAAUCGCUAGUAAUCGCAGGUCAGAAUACUGCGGUGAAUACGUUCCCGGGUCUUGUAC
rnacentral:rRNA from 1 species